ACAGUGGUGGUUCAGUGGUAGAGUUCUCACCUUCCAUGUGAGAGACCCAGGUUCGGUUCCUGUCCAUUGCA
rnacentral:tRNA from 1 species